rnacentral:rRNA from 1 species
GAUGAACGCUGGCGGCGUGCCUAAUACAUGCAAGUCGAGCGAACAGACGAGGAGCUUGCUCCUCUGACGUUAGCGGCGGACGGGUGAGUAACAAGUGGAUAACCUACCUAUAAGACUGGGAUAACUUCGGGAAACCGGAGCUAAUACCGGAUAAUAUAUUGAACCGCAUGGUUCAAUAGUGAAAGACGGUUUUGCUGUCACUUAUAGAUGGAUCCGCGCCGCAUUAGCUAGUUGGUAAGGUAACGGCUUACCAAGGCGACGAUGCGUAGCCGACCUGAGAGGGUGAUCGGCCACACUGGAACUGAGACACGGUCCAGACUCCUACGGGAGGCAGCAGUAGGGAAUCCUCCGCAAUGGGCGAAAGCCUGACGGAGCAACGCCGCGUGAGUGAUGAAGGUCUUCGGAUCGUAAAACUCUGUUAUUAGGGAAGAACAAAUGUGUAAGUAACUAUGCACGUCUUGACGGUACCUAAUCAGAAAGCCACGGCUAACUACGUG